rnacentral:rRNA from 1 species
UGCCGCGUGAGUGAUGAAGGCCUCGGUUGUAAACUCUUUCGCCGGGACGAUAAUGACGGUACCCGUAGAAGAAGCUCCGGCUAACUUCGUGC